rnacentral:rRNA from 1 species
CACGUAGGGCGCGAGCGUUGUCCGGAUUUAUUGGGCGUAAAGAGCUCGUAGGCGGCUCAUUGCGUCAACCGUGAAAUCCUGCUGCUCAACGGCAGGUCUGCGGUUGAUACGGGUGGGCUGGAGUUCGGUAGGGGAGACUGGAAUUCCUGGUGUAGCGGUGAAAUGCGCAGAUAUCAGGAGGAACACCGGUGGCGAAGGCGGGUCUCUGGGACGAUACUGACGCUAAGGCGCGAAAGCGUGGGGAGCGAACAGG